UGCAGUGGUUAAUGAUUUGCUAGACUGUGACUACGCUUUUGACUACUGGGGAAAAGGCACUAUGGUCACUGUCACCUCAGCAACAUCAACUGGUCCAACUGUGUUUCCUCUGAGGCCAUGUAGUUCUGGAACUGGAGACAUGGUCAGUCUUGGCUGCCUUGCCACCGGCUUCACACCUUCCUCACUGACUUUCACAUGGGACAAAAAUGGGGCUGCCUUGACGGACUUCAUUCAGUACCCUCCAGUACAGAAAGGAAAUGGCUACACAGGAGUCACUCAGAUCCAAGUGAGAAGACAGGACUGGAAUGACAAGACAAUUUUCAAGUGUGUUGCUACACAUCCUGCGGGAACUGUUGAAGCUACAAUUAUACCACCACCACCACCGCCUGUGUGUAACUCGCCAAUCAGUCUUAAAGCAUUGGCCUCCUCUAAUGAUGAAAAGGAGGCAUCCUUCUCCUGCUAUGCUAAAGAUUUUUCACCAGAAGAAUAUGACAUCAAAUGGCUGAAAAGUGGAGAGGAAAUAAACAACAAAAUAUAUGAGAUCAAAACGCCAACUACAACAAAUUUGAAGAAUGGAACUAAGUUUUACAGUGCAGCAAGUUUUCUCACAGUGCCAUCCCAUGAUUUGCUUCCUCAAACUGAGUUUACAUGUGAGUUCAAGGGGAAAAGGGAAAACGGAUAUGAAUUCACUAAUUCAUCUGUGAUCUACAACAAAAGACAAUGUAAUGCACCAGAUGUGGAGCUAAAGAUUGAAGGCCCCAAAGUAGAGGAUCUGUUUUUACAUGGAAAAGGAACUAUAACAUGUAAAGUCAAUGGGCAAGGUGUUGACAAGAUGUUUUGGGAGGACCAGUACGGAAACGAAAUGCCUGGAGCCUUGCAGGGCCCCUUCAAUGGAAAACCAUUGAGCCUUCCGCUUGACAUCUCAUAUGACGAAUGGAACAUUGGGGUAAAGCGCUACUGUGUUGUUGAACAUGAAAAUUUCCAGGAACCACUCAAGAAACUCUAUGAAAGGAAUAUCGAUCCAGAGAUCCUGAUGGAAUCAAACAGUGCCAUGGAGGUAGAAGAAGAUAACAUGGGAGGCACAGCCCUCACCUUCAUCCUUCUCUUCCUCAUCACUCUGCUGUUCACCAUUGGAACCACAGUUUUCAAGGUUAAAUGAAACAAGACAAACUUUCUUUUAAAAAAAAGAAUUUCUCUUACAUUUUAUCUUAUAUACUCAUAUUACCAUGUAAGUAAUCACUAUUUUCCUUUUUUUUAUUUACGUAAAUACAAAAUUUAAGAACCAUUACAAAAUCUUUGUCUUUUUGAAAAUAAAUGUUUAAAUGAAGAUAACA